CCCUUCUCAGGAUCACACCUGGAGAGUUUCUGGUACUCUACCAGUCUCGGCUAUGGGAGAGAGAGUCAAGCAGAGGCCUACCCAUUCCAUUCCUAGCUUGGCCAGUGGUUAGUGAGUGGAAGACAAUCCGCUACAAGU
rnacentral:snoRNA from 1 species